rnacentral:lncRNA from 1 species
GGAGGAGGAGGGAAAAGAAAGAACCCCUAAAAAGUCUAAAACCCUUGUCGGAAUUAAGAAGCGCUAUGAAGAAGUGUAGUAGCUGAAGACUUUUUUCGAGAUGCGUUUCUUGCUUCGUCUUCCUCAGACCCACCUGCGGAAACUGUCUAGUUCGAUGUCAGUACUCAUGGGUUCGAAGCAGUUCCUCGAGUUUUGUCUUCUUCCUUCUUUUGCAGCUUCUUCUCCUUCUUGCACCCGUGGUGCUCAGAGGCAACUCUCUUCCGUUUCUAGAAGAUUUCGUCCGGUUCUAGCCUCGAGACCCGUGUCCAAAAGCAGCCCUUAUCACCAAAGGCCCAAUGGUGUAUCCCCCUACACUUCAAUCUCCAGAGCCCCAAAUCCUGGUAACGUCCUGAAUGCAAUUGAGUUCUCUGUUUCCAUGUGUAUGCAAUUGAGUUAAUUGCUCCUCUAUUAGUGGUGCUGUUUGAUAAAUUCUCAACGUUUUGUGACUUGUAGUUGAUCCUGAAGAUGGUGCUGUGCAGUCUAGAUUAGCCAACUUGAGGCUUAAAUUGGCUGAUAAUGGAAUUGAUGCUCAGAACUGUCCCUCCGGACAAUACAGUGGUUUGAUAUGUCCCGAGGUAUAAAAAUUUAUCUUUAUGUUGUAUAUACCAAGACUUGAGACUUGAGAGUACUAUAAUGUUGUCCUUUUCUUUUGGCAUUUGAGUAACUUUGAAAGGCUAAGUUUAUAUACUUAACACUGUUCUUUAUGUGCACAUCAGUGUGAAGGUGGUGACUCUGGAGAAAAGAGCUUGUCUCUUUUCAUUGCUGCUGAUUGGUAUGCAAAUCUUCUUUUUCUCACCAAAAUAAGCUUUGGUUUUGAAUUUUCCUUUUUGGUUUAUGAGACUGUAGUUAAUGCUGCCUUUUAAUUCACAGUUCUUCGGCUACAUGGAACUGCUUUCGAGGGAAGUGUGGGUUGAAAGGUGGAGUACGGGUGAGUUGCAACACAAGCAUGACACUCGUUUCUUGAAAUACAAAUUGAUUAUCCUCAUUCCUUUCUGCAGGUGGAUGGUAGGUUUGCAACAUCUGUAGUUCCAAUGGAGAAGGCUGAAAGAAAAGUUACGGUGGAGAGUUUAGAGCUAGAACCUCUCUGCGAUGAGGUUGUUGUCUUCUACAUACUCUUAUUGUUCUUUCUUUCUUUCUUCUCUGUUUACUGCUUUCGUUAGAAAAAAAACAUCUGAAUUUGAUACUUCAUCUCUCUGUAGUUAUAUGAGUUUGAUAAUACCGUAUUGUGUUCUUGGUUAUGCUUCAGAUUGAGGAUUAUUUCGCUGCAAGAAUGAUUUCGGCAGAAACACUCAAGAGAAAUCGGGUUAUGCAGAAAAGAAUAGGUGAUGAGGUACUUACGAAUAGUCUUCUGAAUCUGUUACUUUUCAAGAUUUUCUCUUGUCAGAGUCUUAAGGAGAUGUUACUUGGCUCUCACUGCUCCAUCUUGAUUGCAAUUGUUUCAUUUUGUGCGGCAGAUUGUAAUUGCUUUUACUUAUUGGCAAAGAGGGGAGCUUGUGAGUUGCAAGUACCGUUAUCUAACUAAGAAGUUCUUUCAGGUCCAUGUCAUUCAAAUUCCCUUUCUAAGAUCAGACAUGAACAACUCUCUCUCUCUCUCGAGGUUUCUAUAUCUUACAUGCUUUUUAUGUUUGUGUUUCCUUCAGGAAAAGAAUACACGGAGGAUCUUUUAUGGUCUUGACGACAUUGAGAAAUCAUCUGAAAUCAUUAUAGUACGUCUGCCUUUACCCUCCUAUUGAAUGAUCACAUGGUAUUGAUGAUGGCUAAACUGUCAAUAACUUUAGGUUGAAGGGGAAAUAGACAAACUUGCGAUGGAAGAGGCAGGUUUCCGAAAUUGUGUGUCCGUUCCUGAUGGAGCUCCAGCGUCUGUUUCUUCAAAGGAAACUCCAUCUGAAGAGAAGGUUUGUCUGCUCUCUAGGUUUCAUACCCUUUUUUAUCCAAGUUUUCUUAUUUGAUUCCCUAAGAACUUUACUCUUCUUUAUUAAAAUUUGAAAAUUUGAAAAACCAAACACCACAACCUGCCACCGUAGCUUGACUUCCUUAUCAGACUGAUCCAUAAAAGUAUCAUGGUUUGGAUGAGCUCUGAUGCCUGCUUUAGCAUCUUCAGCAGACGUACGUUUGUGAGGUAAAACGAACCCUUGCACCAGUUUCUUCAUAAUGGAUCGACCUGCAACAGUCUGGUUCUUAAACAGAACCUUUCCUGGCCCCUGUUUCUUCUCCUCUCUCUCUCCAAUCUGGUUAUCUUCGAGUAUCGCUAUGAUCCUGAGCCACAUUAAUAACCCAAUCCAAACUUUCCAGGCCCUACUUCUAGCAAAUCGUUGAUUCCUUUGUCGACACGCCAAGUAAAUCCAAACGAAUCUCCUAUUGAAUAGAAGAAAAAUCAUACCUUUAUUAUCCAAGCCAUCGCCACUUGAAGACCCGAGAUCACAUGUAUCUGUGUAAAUCGUAGAUCGUAAUAUCUUCGAGCCCCUAUCAAUUUCGGUCUUUUUCAUAUUCCCCUGCAACCCAAUCAAUCCUGAUUGAUCCCCUCGGAUCAGAUCAUCGUGAACUUUUCCUUGUUUGCUAAUACCGUAAUCCUGAUGAAGAUUCGGUAUCUCAUGUGCUAUUCCGACCCUCUUUCUUCCCGGAUCCCACUCUCGAAACACCAUCGGAACCCUAGAUCUAAAUCACCUUCGUCAUCGCCACCCAGAAAAAAAGCUUUCAUACGUACUAGUUUGUUUAUAAGGAAUUACAAAUAAUUUAUAAAACCUUAUAAAAUCCAAAAAACUUAUAAAAUAUUAUAGAAUGUUGACAAACUUUAUGAAAUAAAUUUAAAAACUCUUAUAAGAGUAUAUAUAAAAUCAUUUAUAAGUAUUUAUAUAUUAUUCAUAAGGUUUAAAAGUCAUUUAAUUCCGGAUACAAUGUACUAUUCCUCUUCUUGUUCUCUCUUUCGUAUAAGUUUCCUUUCAUGUAAUUCAUUUGGUAACAUGAGUAUUGUCACAAAAUAUAGACCAUUCAAUGUCCACCUAACCAAGCUUGAUUUUUGUAACAAGAAACAAAAUGUGGUAAAAAAGAGUAGUCUUAAUUACUUAGCCGCAAAAUAACAGGACAUUUCAUGGAAAGAGCAAGACUAUGAGUUAAGAGGACUAUAUACGGCUCUCAUCAAAACAUUAGAGAUAAUUCCUUGUUUUCAACAAAAAGUUGUUAUUACUAACAUAAUCUGAGAACAUCAAGGCUUCUUCAUAUCUCACUCUUCUAUAAAAGAAACGAUUGGAACCAAGCUCACUUACAGGUCCAACUAAUCUCUUCAACUAUGCAACUCGUAAGAGAGAUAUACAAUUGUUUUGGUAUAAGAGAUAUUUGAAGAAGAUGAAAGAGAAGAAUGUAUUAAGAAGCCAACUCUGCAACCUUUAUAAAGCCUUAUAAAUAUGUAAUUCUUUGAUGGCACAAACCACGUUCUUGUUCAGAGUCCCUCUUGCUUCUUCAAACAGCUCACAAACCUCGUCGAUCUUCAAAAUCUGAACGCAAGCCAACCAUAUAUUAUUCCUACGCAUCAGCACUCACUUCCAAAAACAAGAUUCAAAAAUAAUAUGCUUUCCUAACUCAACAAACUCAUGCUCCAUCUCCACUGCUUCUUUAGAUAUUAUACACAAAACAAGACAUAGAAAAAAUGAAUCACAUAAAGUACCAAACAGAACGUUACACUACCAAAACACUAACCUUCCACCUUAUAUACUGCACAUACUAAACCUUGCUAGUCAAACUACAAAUAGUAGCAUUGUAUUACAUCAAGAAAGUGAGGUACUUGAUAUGCAUAUCACCACAUAUAUUCUCCACAUCAUCUUUUAAAUCCAAAAGCUCACAGCACACCUUUGUAAUUCCCUGCAACAUUACCUGAUCAACCAAGAGAAGAAGUAAUCAUGGAAUAAUCUUACUCUUAGGUUAGUACUUUCUCAUGAAUUAAACAUAUGUUAAGCUCUAUGUCUUUUGAUUGCUAACAGAUCAACAGUAAGAUUCGAAAGGACCCAAUUUAUAAGGUCUUAUAAAUUUGAAAUUUGAAAACUUCAUGAGAAAAACUUCAUCUUCCUUCCCAUAAAUAGAUCGAUUUUGAUAAACCAAGCUACAAUUACAGAAAGAGAUGAAAAUCACAAUAUAUUCUCCUUUUACCUUUGUUAGCGUCGGGAGAGAGAUCGUCUCGUUUGUCUGAGCUUGUAGAGUAUGUCAGCUUCGCCGGAGAAUUAGUCAGCGUCGUCAGAUCUCGCCGGAAAAUUCGUCAGGGUCGUCAAGUCUCGCCGGAAUUGGUCAACGUGAAGAAUCUGAAAUUUGAGGAAUUUGAGCUUUGAAAAAAUCGUAGGAAAGAGAAAGAUGUUUUAGGUUUAAUUAGUCAGGGGUACAAUAGUAUUUUGCCUAUUAAAAUUUUAAUGGUAAAAUUGGUUAAGAUAUAAAUGAAAUGUGGUACAAGAAAAGUGGUAUUUUUGACAAAUUCCCAACUAUUUUUUAAAAAAAUUUAAGUAUUUAUUUAUAUAUUUAUUAGAAACCUAAAUUUCACUUUCCAAAAACCUUAUCUCACUCCUUUAUUAUAAAACUUAAGUCUAGAUUAGUUAAUCCUAUGGGUAUAAAUGUCUUUUACCUUUCAUUAAAAGCAAUGGUAAAAGUAAUGGUAAAAGUGGUCAGUGUAAAAUGCGGUGAUAUGAACAUAAGUAUUUGUGAGAUUUUUUUUUUUUUUUGCAUAACUUACUAAAAAGAAUGCGGAAACUUAACAAUGGGCCCAAAUAAAUGCAACGUGCCUGAACAAAUAAAGAAUGGGCCUUUUUGCUCAGAAACCCAAGUUACGGCAAAAGAGAACAAAAUCAAAAUCUCUUCUCUUCUUCUCAUUCUUCUUCCGUAAGACGCAGACGGAGGAGGAGGGAAAAGAAAGAACCCCUAAAAAGUCUAAAACCCUUGUCGGAAUUAAGAAGCGCUAUGAAGAAGUGUAGUAGCUGAAGACUUUUUUCGAGAUGCGUUUCUUGCUUCGCCUUCCUCAGACCCACCUGCGGAAACUGUCUAGUUCGAUGUCAGUACUCAUGGGUUCGAAGCAGUUCCUCGAGUUUUGUCUUCUUCCUUCUUUUGCAGCUUCUUCUCCUUCUUGCACCCGUGGUGCUCAGAGGCAACUCUCUUCCGUUUCUAGAAGAUUUCGUCC